AACGAACGCUGGCGGCAUGCCUAACACAUGCAAGUCGAACGAGACCUUCGGGUCUAGUGGCGCACGGGUGCGUAACGCGUGGGAACCUGCCCUUAGGUUCGGAAUAACUCCCCGUAAGGGGUGCUAAUACCGGAUAAUGUCUUCGGACCAAAGAUUUAUCGCCUUUGGAUGGGCCCGCGUUGGAUUAGCUAGUUGGUAGGGUAAAAGCCUACCAAGGCGACGAUCCAUAGCUGGUCUGAGAGGAUGAUCAGCCACACUGGGACUGAGACACGGCCCAGACUCCUACGGGAGGCAGCAGUGGGGAAUAUUGGACAAUGGGCGAAAGCCUGAUCCAGCAAUGCCGCGUGAGUGAUGAAGGCCUUAGGGUUGUAAAGCUCUUUUACCCGGGAUGAUAAUGACAGUACCGGGAGAAUAAGCUCCGGCUAACUCCGU
rnacentral:rRNA from 1 species